rnacentral:rRNA from 2 species
GAGUUUGAUCGUGGCUCAGAUUGAACGCUGGCGGCAUGUCUUACACAUGCAAGUCGAACGGCAGCACGGGAGCUUGCUCCUGGUGGCGAGUGGCGAACGGGUGAGUAAUGCAUCGGAACGUAUCCUGGAGUGGGGGAUAACGUAGCGAAAGUUACGCUAAUACCGCAUAUUCUGUGAGCAGGAAAGCGGGGGACCUUCGGGCCUCGCGCUCUUGGAGCGGCCGAUGUCGGAUUAGCUAGUUGGUGAGGUAAAGGCUCACCAAGGCGACGAUCCGUAGCAGGUCUGAGAGGAUGAUCUGCCACACUGGAACUGAGACACGGUCCAGACUCCUACGGGAGGCAGCAGUGGGGAAUUUUGGACAAUGGGGGCAACCCUGAUCCAGCCAUGCCGCGUGAGUGAAGAAGGCC